ensembl:misc_RNA 7SK 7SK RNA
GGAUAGGAGUGCACAACAUCUGCCACUUGCAUUGAUUGCCAGGGUUGAUUAGGGUGAUCUGGCUAGCUAGAUAGGUGUUUUCUUCCUCAUUCAUCUUUCCACAUGUGUCCAUUUGGAAGCUGAAUGCCUAGUCCUGGAGAACCAGUCUUCAGUCCAGAGCAUAAGUAUAUCUGCAUUCUCCUGCUAGAUCCUUCAGACUCUACAGAUGUUAUUUGUAGGAGAACAUGAGGCAGUCAAGUUUCCAAGAAUUCAGACAAAUUUGAAUGUCUAUGCCGCACAUGGCAAUCUGCUUC